UGGAUUUAAGCAUAUAAGUAAGCGGAGGAUGAGAAACUAAAUGGGAUUCUCUCAGUAAUGGCGAAUGAAGAGGGAGUAGCUCAACGUGGAAAUCGGGGCCUCCGGUCUUGAAUUGUAGUCUGGAGAUGCACUGCCAACGGAGGCGCAGAUGUAAACCUCUUGGAAGAGAGCAUCAGCGAGGGUGAGAGUCCUAUUUGUCAUCUGCAGUCCCCCAUGCACGGCGUGCCUUCCAAGAGUCACGUUCCUCGGAACUGGAGCGCAAAGUGGGUGGUAACUUUCAUCUCAAGCUAAAUAUGGGUUCGAGACCGAUAGCAAACAAGUACCAUGAGGGAAAGGUGAAAAGGACUUUGAAAAGAGAGUUACAAGUGCCUGAAAUUGCUGAAAGCAAAGCGAAGGGAACUAGUGUUGCUUGGCGAAAUUUUCUGCGCGCUAUCGCGACGGCUUGCUGGUUCAACGCAAGUGUGGAAGAGAGUUCUGACUGGGACGCGUGCGGUGUUUCUUGCCCUGCGCGUCAACGCCAGCUCACAAACGAGAAGCGCUCCAGCGACAUGGCAAUCUGCCUGGGGGCAGACGAACGUGCCUGGUAGAACUCAUUUGUGCGCUGACUCGUGGCUGUCUGUUGCAGCGCUCUGUGCCAGCUCUGGCAACUGAGGCGCAUCCCUGACGCAGCGAGAC
rnacentral:rRNA from 1 species